GCGAACGCUGGCGGCAUGCUUAACACAUGCAAGUCGCACGGCGGGGGCAACUCCGUCAGUGGCGGACGGGUGAGUAACGCGUAGGAAUCUAUCCUUGGAAAUGGGGGACAACCGUGGGAAACUACGGCUAAUACCGCAUGAUGCCUGAGGGCCAAAGACGAAAGUCGUUUGAGGAGGAGCCUGCGUCUGAUUAGGUAGUUGGUGGGGUAAAGGCCUACCAAGCCUGCGAUCAGUAGCUGGUCUGAGAGGAUGAUCAGCCACAUUGGGACUGAGACACGGCCCAAACUCCUACGGGAGGCAGCAGUGGGGAAUAUUGGACAAUGGGCGAAAGCCUGAUCCAGCAAUGCCGCGUGUGUGAAGAAGGUCUUCGGAUUGUAAAGCACUUUUGGCAGGGACGAUGAUGACGGUACCUGCAGAAUAAGCCCCGGCUAACUUCGUG
rnacentral:rRNA from 1 species